ACUAGUAUAGUCAUAUUAUUAUUUACAAGCAAGGCUAAUUUUGUAGAUAGUUCUAGUACUAGGACUUGCAAAGAGUUGUCUUGAUAAUGUCAUAAAAAUAAACUAAUUAAAGCAGAAAGUGUAAUACUGUACCAAUAUAUUUUGACAUGUAGUAAAUUCAUUUCUAAAAUUUUAAUUGGAAAACAGUUUCUCCUCUAGUAAAAAUAACAGGAAAGCAUUUGCCCUACCACUGUUUUAGAACUCUCAUUAAGGUCUAACAAAAUAUGACCUCAGUAAGUCAAAAGAAACCUUACAUAACCCAAGACUGACAGUUCAUCCUUCUAGCAAGUAAUAGAAGAACAAAAAAAAAAGAUUCUGCAUGCUUAAUUUUCCAGCUUACUGUCUUUUAUUUGUUUACUGAUGUUUACCAACCUAUGUAUCUGCAUCAGGACAUUACAGUUUCUCUAGAGGAUGUUAGCAUUAUUUUUAGGAUUCCUUUUUAAAAAAUAAACAAAACACACCUUUUUGGACAAACACAUUUCUUAGACUAAUCUUACAGGGAUUUGUUUCAAGACUUUUCAUCUCAGUGUUCCUUAUCUAUUGUAUCUGACAUGAUUUUGACAUAUUCUUUGAAGUAAUCUUUAAAAAAAAAAAAAAGCUUGCUUGUUGUUGUGUGCAGGAGCUGUCUUUCCUGCGUGCUGUCUUAGCAGUGAAGACGCGUAGAGCUCAAGACGAGCUCAUUCAUUUUGCUCAACGAUGCCACUGACACUCACUUCUCUGCCCUGCAAGGACUGACGCUAGGGGUUCAAUACUUUGAAUGACUCAGUCCUGUCUUCCUGCUGGAAAUUGUUAAACAGUACAUUGCUUUCUGUCCAACAGAGGUCAUUUUCUAAUGCUUUUAUAUAAAGUGGAAUUGCAUAAAGGUCAGGAGGCUUUUAGCUGGGAAAAGUCAUUUCAGGGAAAAUGUAAAUCCAAACAAACAUAAACAGAAAAUUGCAACUUUUUUUUAUUUUAUUUUUUUUUUAAAUAAUUUUUUUAAAUAUAUCUGCAUGCUCUUUUAUUCACAUACAUUUGUAUUUUAAAAUUCCUUUUUAGUAUAUCAGUGUGGGAAAAAAAUAACAUUCAAACAAAUGUCAUAGUAAACUAAUAAUAUUAUAUGAUGGAAUCAGAAAUUAAUAUACAAAAAUUGGUCACAUUGUGGAUUUAUGUUUUGUGCAUAAGCAUCCUGGUAAUCCUAAUCCUAACCACAUGUAGCCUGAACAGGUGGUACUGAUCUAUACAGAAGCACAAUGAAGAUAUAAAUUAGUAAAAGGGAGUACUUAAUUCAUGUGCCAUUGAUAUACUGAUAAAAUACUAUGUUAUAUUGAGUCCCUUAGGAUAUGAAGUGCAUUCUGGUUUGCAAUGUUGAUGAUUUUUAACAGUUUGUGUAGUUGACAAUAUUGUAUAAUAGCACUAGUGGAACAGAACUUUCAUCUUAAUGCAUCUCAUGCAAUAUGAAUUUAAUUUUGUUCGGCAUCACAAGGACAGCCUCCUUCACCCCAGCUCCAACAUUGUGCCUCUGUGCUGGAGACGGUGGUAAAGACUGUGCUUGGGCUGGUGGAAGCUGUUUACUAGAUGGUUAAAGUCAAAUUCUUAGCAGGUGACAUUGAUGCAGCUCAGAACAUCAUACAGCACUUUUGGAACCCUUCAACGUGCUGAUGCCCCAAAUCUAUUUGAUGCAAGGCAGCUUUAAGCUCUCUUCACAGUCUCUGGAACUGUGCCUUAGCUAUAACUUUGAGCUCAGACCCAGAAGAAUAUGGGGGAGGUCCAGGAAGCCGAUAAGACUUUGCAAAUGGCGAUGAGUUUACCAGGAAUGAAAAGCAUGGUAGUUCUUCAAAAUGCAGAGGCAAAAAGGUUGGAAUCAGCUCAACUGGACAAGUGUCUGUAUUUCUGGAGUUAGCAGAAGCCCAUCGGCUAAAUGGAGAGCAGGCACCCCUGAAGAACUGCAUGUCACUACUGACAGCGAAGACCUGGCUCUCCUUCAUGGGGACAAUGAACUAGCCCCGAGCGUGCUUAGAAACAUCACACCUGAGCAGCCUUACUACAAUCAAGCAAAAGAAAAAAUGGCAGACGUUUAUCUCAACUACAGAAAGGAGAAGGGGUUGUUUGCAAGCUGUUACAGAGAAUUGGUGGAAAAACUGCCUAACUGCCACACAUAUCUCCUGUUAGGUGAUGCUUACUUUAAUAUUCAAGAGGUAUGCUAAGUUGUAGAAUUCCAGUAUGUGGCUAAAAAAUGACAAAUUCAAACAUGUUACUGUAUGAAUCAGCAUUGUUGCAUUGUAUUUAUUUAUUUAUUUAUUUAUAAUGGAAUGUUACUGUUUCAAGCAUGAUUAAAUAGUACAGUUAUGUGAGGUGCCAUCUUGUGGUUUAAAAAUGAAAGGCAAAACCCUCAAUCAGCCCUUGCAAAACUUUAUUUACAGUAUGGCUAGAUUAUAAUUACUAUGUUUAAGGGUAUUAUAGUUU